CAGAACCUGACCACAGAGCCAUCUGAUUGGUCAGAACCUGACCACAGAGCCAUCUGAUUGGUCAGAACCUGACCACAGAGCCAUCUGAUUGGUCAGAACCUGACCACAGACAGUUAAACCACAAAACGAGAGAGAGAUAAACAGCGGACAGAACAAAGAAACAACAACCAAAACAGUCUGUAUGAACUGGACCAGACGGUAACCAUAACAACCACAGACAUGAUCAGAGAAUCAGACUACCAAUAAGAACCCCAGAAACAUACAUUUAAAAACUGACCAGUUUCACAUACAGACUGCGUCCCAAUUGGCCCCCUAUUCCCCAUAGGGCUCUGGUCAACAGUAGUGUACUAUAUAGGGAAUAGGGCCCUAGUCAACAGUAGUGUACUAUAUAUAGAGAAUAGGGCUCUGGUCUAAAGCAGUGUACUAUAUAGGGAAUAGGGCUCUGGUCUAAAGUAGUGUACUAUAUAGGGAAUAGGGCUCUGGUCAAAAGUAGUGUACUAUAUAUAGAGAAUAGGGCUCUGGUCUAAAGCAGUGUACUAUAUAGGGAAUAGGGCUCUGGUCAAAAGUAGUGUACUAUAUAUAGAGAAUAGGGCUCUGGUCAACAGUAGUGCACUAUAUAGGGAAUAGGGCUCUGGUCUAAAGAAGUGCACUAUAUAGGGAAUAGGGCUCUGGUCAACAGUAGUGCACUAUAUAAGGAAUAGGGUCUCAUUUGGGACCUAACCACUCUUCUGGUGAGAGAACAUGUGACAAACAAGUACACUAUAUAGAAAACAGGGUGGCAUUUGGGUCGCAAUCAAUAUGUGGUCCAUAAAAUAGUGGCUUCACCAUCCAGCUGAUAACAAUCUGAUAUAACUAUGAUAGCAGUCAUUUAAUAUAAAAACAAUCACAAUGUCAUGGCAACUAAUGAUCUGUGAUUAGGUCAGAAUAGGGAGAGAGGAAUGGGACCGGGAGAGAGGGGUGAAGGGAGAGGAGGAUGAAGAGAGAGGUAGAGAGAGGUAGAGAGAGAGAGGUAG
rnacentral:lncRNA from 1 species